rnacentral:rRNA from 1 species
UACGUAGGGGGCAAGCGUUGUCCGGAAUCAUUUGGCGUAAAGCGCGUGUAGGCGGUCCGGUAAGUCCGCUGUGAAAGUCGGGGGCUCAACCCUCGGAUGCCGGUGGAUACUGUCGGGCUUGAGUACGGAAGAGGCGAGUGGAAUUCCUGGUGUAGCGGUGAAAUGCGCAGAUAUCAGGAGGAACACCAAUUGCGAAGGCAGCUCGCUGGGACGUUACUGACGCUGAGACGCGAAAGCGUGGGGAGCAAACAGG